UACGGGGGGGGCAAGCGUUGUUCGGAAUUACUGGGCGUAAAGGGCUCGUAGGUGGCCAACUAAGUCAGACGUGAAAUCCCUCGGCUUAACCGGGGAACUGCGUCUGAUACUGGAUGGCUUGAGUUCGGGAGAGGGAUGCGGAAUUCCAGGUGUAGCGGUGAAAUGCGUAGAUAUCUGGAGGAAUACCGGUGGCGAAGGCGGCAUCCUGGACCGGCAUUGACGCUGAGGAGCGAAAGCUAGGGGAGCAAACGGGG
rnacentral:rRNA from 1 species